GCGCACGCGCGUGGGCGCGUGCGCGCCUAAUAGCAGGGUGGAGCUGAGGCCGGCAUGGCGGCUCCCGGGCCCAGCACUGACGGGCCCUGCUGCGCCCACUCGGGUGCGACGCCUGGCGCGCGACAGACGCUGGACGAGAUGGACUUCGAGAGGGGAAUCUGGUCAGCAGCCUUGAAUGGAGACCUGGGCCGAGUGAAGUAUUUAAUCCAGAAGGCAACGGAUCCUAGUCAGCCCGACUCAGCCGGCUACACAGCUCUGCACUACGCCAGCCGCAAUGGGCACUAUGCUGUAUGCCAGUUCCUGCUGGAAAGUGGGGCCAAGUGUGAUGCCCAGACACAUGGGGGUGCCACUGCCCUGCACCGGGCCAGCUACUGUGGGCACACUGAGAUCGCACGGCUUCUGCUGUCACAUGGGUCCAACCCGAGGCUGGUAGAUGACGAUGGUAUGACCAGUCUACAUAAGGCUGCUGAGAAGGGUCACGUGGACAUCUGCUCCCUCUUGUUGCAGCACAGCCCCGCCCUGAAGGCCGUCCGCGACCGGAAGGCACGACUAGCGUAUGACCUGCUGCCCUGCAACAGUGACCUGCGGGACCUGCUGGCCAGCUGAACCACCACCCUUCUGUUUCAGGCUGCCAUGAAGGGUACACAGACUAGGUCAUCAGGCCCCUGCCUUGGUCUACGUAACUCUCUCCCUCAUAACCAAAGGCAAGAAAUCUCCAAGAAAACACCCUGAAGUGUAAGGACCGAGUUUCUUUAAGAAGCUGUCUCAGAACUGGCUUACGCAGCCAGCCAGCUAGCCAGCCAUGGCUGAGACCGUUGGCAGCCCUUGGGGGCCUUGGGCUGUUCUUGACCUGAGGUAAGUGGAGAAAGAGAAGAAAGGAAAGUGUUAGGACGUGGACAUGAAGCUCCUGAACCUGGAGGCUGGCCGAGUGACUGGAGGCGGGGACCUCAGGAGGCCGUGGCCCGGGAGAGGUGGAAAGUGGAAGAAGAGAA